rnacentral:lncRNA from 1 species
AGUUGGGGUGCCUGUGAAACCGGCAGGCUCUCUCCAAAUGCCUGGAUUCUGCUGGGGGAGUAAGAAGUCAGGAGUAGUUUGUCUGAUGGUAUUGGGAUCUGCUUUGCAAUUGCCAAGCGCUAAGGCACAAGCUGGCAGAUGUGCUGCGGCUCUGCUACGGGCGGCUCUGUCGCCUUCAGUCGCAGGCUGGUUCUUUGGGGGAAAGUUGUAUCCAAUAUUGGUGACUCCCGGGAAUAGUCUGUUUGUGUGCUACUUAAUGGUCUCUAGGCUUCCUUGUCUUGUAGAACCUUGUUAGAAAGGAGCCUUGGUGAUUAAGAGGCUAUGGAGUACACAGCCUUGCUUAGCAGAUGAGCCCUUAUCCAUUUCCCGUUUCCUUAAAAACGGCUAAUUGAUGGAUGCUGCAGAAAACAUGCACUCUGCUAAUAAGAUGCUGAUGACAAAAUAGGUAUCAGGAAAGGCAUUUACUGCUUAUGAGCACCAUCAGCUUUCUUUCGAGUGAGAUUGUGGCUUUGUAGUAAAGUUUUUUUUUAAGUAAUAUGCUAAUAGUUUUAUUCUAAAUCGGCCAGCGCUGAAUAUCUUCAGGAAAAUGGGUUCCAUGAGAAGUGACAUCCUCCUCGAAUCAAAAGAUUCUCAGGAUGAUGGAGUGAGUGAUGGAAUAGGUUGCCAACUGUAGUUACUCCACUCAGCACAGAAUGGCUGCGGGGAAAUAUAAUCAGACAUGCCCAAAGAAGUCUGCUUAGGGUGAAACAAAUACCUUUGAGGUUUAAAUCAGGAAGGAGAGACUGUUUCUACAGGUGUCAUACAAAAAUCAAUACUGAGCCAAGGAUUAUUGGAUCCCAUAGAACCACGGAGACUUGGUAGUGAAAUUCUUCCAAAGCAUUCCAUCCGUGCAGGCAGAUGGUGUUCCUAGGUUUGGAAAUAUAAAUCCCAUGGGAAGUCAGCUGAAGACCAUUUUAUGCAUCACUCAUCCUGUUAGAGCCCUGUGCUGUUCUGUCUCUCUAUAAGACUGGCUGAAACCACCACGGUUGUUUACAAUUUAUGCUCUAACUUUGGAUCACCUAGUUAAUACUCUAACUCCGAUUAUUACCAAAGACAAUGUUCUAUAAAAGAUAUUGUCUAUUAGAAGGAUGCUUCUGCAUUAUUAAUAAAAUCACAGGGAAAAUGCAACAUUUUGGAUGUCACAUCUGAUAAGUGGGUGACUGAUCGUACCCGCCAGCUGGCUAAUGUCAUAAUUAACAAAGUUGCUACUACAUCUGCAAAGUUUAAUCGAAAAAUUUGCCAGUGAUAUGAUGGCCUUGUCACAGAGAUCACAAGGGACACGGAGUUGACUUUUGCUCAAGGUGGAACGACAGAGCUGUGUAGGCAAGAUGAGAAAUUGCGAACUUGUUCGGCCAAAGGAACGACUAUGCUCUGGAGAGUCCUGUAAUUUGCAGAAAAUGGACCAAGAUAACAUUUGAGUUCCAUGCUACCAAAAUCCUCUUGAGAAGGACAGCUAGCUACCCAGAAUAUUUAACAUUGUGACAUUGAAAUGUUGGAUGAACGAUUAAAAUGAAGAAUCUAGUCAUAGGUUGUAAGAAAUCGCUAAAUUAUUAUGUUUAAUCCAAAGAAGAGAAAGGAAAAGCUGUUUUCAUUCCCCCCAGCCUCUGAGGAGGCUAAUAAUGAAGGGGCCGGGAAGGAGGCCAGUGCUACCAGGGUUAUCUCACAACCUCAGAUGCUGGAUAAGUCGACGGAGGCAGAAUCGCUUUGGGAUGACAUUCAGAAAGCCUGGAGUGAUUACUUGCAAGAGAAAAGCCUACCUAUUCUUUCCAAGGUGCAGGAAUAUUCCCCUGACCUGCUCAUCCAGUGGUCCAGUAAUGAAUUACUGGAGACCUGCCUUAGACAAAGAAUGCACUCGGAGCCCCAACACACCUAAAGCCAUGCUUUGAAGGAUCUGCCAAGCUCACUUUUAAUCAUGAGAAAGAAAUUACCCACACGGAGUCAGCAGAAAAUGAGAAAGUAGAGCUCGUGCUGUGAAUAAUUCCAGCAAGUGCCAAGGGGCUAGUUGAGGAAUGGCUUCAUGAGAACAUGCUCUAGGGGAACUAUUAAUAGCCCACCAGUCGGGUAGGCAGCAUUCAAUCCUUCUAUGCCUUCUUUCGCCACCUGUUGAGGUCUUUCUUCUGAAACAAAGAAGAAAUAGACAAAUCAGACUUGCCCUCUUGGAAAUGUGGUCCAGAUUUCUCUACUCCCAAGCUCCAAAAAAGGUAUACAUUGGAUGGGCUAGAUCAACUCCUCCUGAGAGCCAUAAAUCCGCCAAGAGUUGUUUUCCAUGUAAGGGUGUGGUACAAUGGGGAACACCUGAUGUUGGAGGAAAGCAGGAGGACUUUAGAGUGGAGUUGCAUUCUAAUCUCUCUGCCGCUUCAACUAUGUGACCUGGGGCAAAUGAUAUAAACUCUAUGAGCCUCUUUCCUUAUCUUUAAAAUGAAGAGAAGUAAUACCUACCUUGUAGGGCUGUUGUGAGGAUUAAAUGAAGUAAUGCAUACAGUGCCUAACAAAGUAUUUAACAUCAUAUUUUUUAAAAGCUCAUGAAAUAUUAGUUUUUCUUCCUUCCCCUCUUUCUAUUUUCUCUCCUGUUCCCUUUUCUCUCCCUCCUCUGCCCUCUCCUUCCUUCAGAUGUUAGUCUAAAACAGCACCUUGGAUCUAAGCAGCACCUUUGAGAAAGAAAAGACUGCUUCAAGAAUGUCUAGUUGCACCUCCUUUCCGUAUGUGGCCUAAAUGCCUAGGUUGGAUCAAUAGUUUAAUUUUUUUAUUGAACUGUUUAAUAUUGACUAUGGACUUACAUUCACUUUUACUGUUUUCUGUAUAUUUACUUUUGCUUGAAGUGUUUUAAUAUUGACUAUUUACCUCUGCUCAUUUUUAUUGAUUUUCUGUAUUUUUUCAAUGAAAAUUAUAAUAAAAAUUAUUUUUGU